UACUGUUGUCAGUCCCUAAGCCUGCAGAGAAGUUGUUUUUUUGCUGGCUGAAACUGAAAUCUCAUCUGCAAGUCAUUGCUUCUGAGUGGCUGCAGGAACUGCUUCAUCAAGAAAGAGAUUCCAGCACAAAUGAAGGAAGUCUUUCUUCUUUGUCAGUCUCCAUAAUUGAAACUGAAGCUGCUACAAAUUACAUCUUUCCUCUGGUGGGAGACACUCAUGUGGGAACACAUCAGGUGUACAGUGUUGGUCUGAGCUGCAGAGCGCAAAAAAAGAGGAAAGAUGCAGACAUCCAUCUGUAUUCCUAUUUGAGAAAACAGUCUGAAAUGUAAAGAAGAUUCUUCAUCUUGUAAGCUCACCUUGUUCAUUUCUCCUUUCUUUUUCCUUCAUUCUGAUCCUACUGUUCAAAGGCUUUAUUUCAGAUACAAGGUGGCAGAAAAGGCAAGUGGCUAUUAAUUGUUGGGUUGGUUUUCCAUAUGACCACAGCUGGGUCUGUAGGUUGGUAGGGUGACUCUCCCAGGGUUUUAAGCAAUACUCUCCUGUGUUUAUUUCUGGGAUCCCUUUUUCAUUUGUCCACUUCAAAUAUCUGGUAAAUGGAAGAAAAAAGAAAAGAGGAAAUUAGCACUUCUCAGCAAAUGAAUUACUUGUGGUUUGUUGUUUUGAAAAUGAAAGCAUUUAUAUUCAGACUUAAAACACCACAUUCACUUCUUGAUCAAAUCUAAAUGGCCAUGUGAUUGCAUGCUGUCUCUUCCUUUGUGAACAUCUUGCCUAUUUAGACAAUAUGUAGAUGGUUUAUGUCAUAUUAGACUAUGGCAAACCUGAUAUUACUUCCUUUGUGUAGAGGAAUAAGAGAAUUUUUCACCUGCUAAGACUUCUAGGCAGUAAUUCUUGAGUAAGAUAAACAUCUUGUCUGCUUCUGUAGUUUGCAGUCCUUACCAGCUGCUCAAUUAAUUGAGCUCCUUAAGAGACAGAGAAACAUUUCCAUGAUACCGGUGAAAGGUGUCACCUCAUACACUUCUUUCUUCUACUGUAAUCUGUAAGAGGUCUUACAGCAUAGAACAUGUUGUAAUGGUCACUGCUACGUGAAAAAGCUAUUUUUUUCAAUUCUCUCUCCUUUCCUCUUUCUACUCUUCCUCCUUCCAUGAUCUGCACAGUUCUUGCUUGGCACUUGUCUUAAUCUUGGCCAUUUCAGUUCACUGAGAUCACAAAAAUCUGUUGCAGCUCUAGAAAGUGGAUAUUCUGAGCAUUUAGUGAGUCAGAUCAGCUUGGUUGUACUGCCAAGCCAUGCAAGGUAUGGAGCAGCAAGACACAGAAAGGAAUGUCGGAGGAGGCAGCCCACCCAUUUUAGCAGCACGUGGUUAGAUCAAGCCAGCUGCAGUGUGAAACCUUACCUGCAAGAGACACCAUGCUUGAAGUCUGCUGAAGUCUGGAAAAGGCACAACAAAACUGCCACUGGUCUCUUCAGUCUUCUAGUAAGUAACUGGCCUACUCAUCUGCUUUUGCUCAACAGCUGUUCUGAAUGAAUUAAAAUCAUCUCCUAUUUUCUUUCCUGGGGAUAAGUCCAGCUAAGAAAAAUUCUCAGCAGACAGAAGAUUGAUAAUAGAAUGUACAAACAGGAGCCAGCGAACCUCAGAAAGAAUAAAGAUGGGACUAACGUGUCUUCUUAUCCCUAGGAGAGGGUUCUCUGUUUCAUCUACCUUGACUAAAUUAGGGCAGCUACUGUUUUUAGCAUCAAAGAUUUUAAGUGCACAUGGAAAAGUACUGUUUAUUUUUGUAAGAAGUACAUAAGGAUUGUAUCUACAUACAAAGCAACAACCCCAGUUCACCCCACUGAAGCUCAAGUUUGCCACCUCAUCCUCCUUUCCUGGCACUAUGAGAGUGCUGGAGAAAUUGUAUUCCUUGUAAUCAGCUACGUUGCCUGCUCUGGCUACAUGCAGCCUCAGGCUGGGCAUGAAAGUAUGCUGAUAUUGGGAGUGGGACCUUACUGUAGCAGGGUAAGUUAAUGCACAUGGGUAAGCUCUGAUUAAUCACCUCUGGCAAAAUAUUAUACAAGGGAGUUUUUGCUUUGUGCUUCAAUCACUGUGCAGCAUGUAUGUUUCUCUGCCUGACAAGUGAUGGUAGGAGGGUGAGUCCAUCAGUAUUUGUGUAGUACUCUUAGUACAGUUGCUGCAUCUUGAACUGACUCACUCCUGAUGGUGAGCCACUGCAGGGAUGCAUAUGGGCACAAUCAUCUUUCCUCUUUAUACAGAGGUAACUCUUCCAAACAGCAACUGGAUGAAGUGCUAUGUUAUUUGAAGGUGUUCGUACUGUCUCUGCCACAUUGCUGAUAUCCUUGCCAUUUCUGUGAAUAAACAGAGCUCAGAAUAUUUCUGUAU